rnacentral:rRNA from 1 species
UACGGAGGGUGCGAGCGUUGUCCGGAAUCAUUGGGCGUAAAGGGCGCGUAGGCGGCUUCUCAAGCGUGCGGUGAAAGUCGGGGGCUCAACCCCUGAUCGGCCGUGCGAACUGGGGGGUUGGAGCACUGUAGAGGCAGGCGGAAUUCCCGGUGUAGCGGUGAAAUGCGUAGAUAUCAGGAGGAACACCGGUGGCGAAGGCGGAUCUCUGGGCCGAUACUGACGCUGAGGAGCGAAAGCGUGGGGAGCGAACAGG